rnacentral:tRNA from 1 species
UUGGUAGAAGCUGAAAGCAUUUUACUGUUAAUAAAAAGAAGAUAAAUAAUCCUAUCAAU